GACGAACGCUGGCGGCGUGCUUAGCACAUGCAAGUCGAACGCUGAAGCUUGGUGCUUGCACUGGGUGGAUGAGUGGCGAACGGGUGAGUAAUACGUGAGUAACCUGCCCUUGACUCUGGGAUAAGCCUGGGAAACUGGGUCUAAUACUGGAUACGACAUGCCACUGCAUGGUGGUGUGUGGAAAGGGUUUUACUGGUUUUGGAUGGGCUCACGGCCUAUCAGCUUGUUGGUGGGGUAAUGGCCUACCAAGGCGACGACGGGUAGCCGGCCUGAGAGGGUGACCGGCCACACUGGGACUGAGACACGGCCCAGACUCCUACGGGAGGCAGCAGUGGGGAAUAUUGCACAAUGGGCGGAAGCCUGAUGCAGCGACGCCGCGUGAGGGAUGACGGCCUUCGGGUUGUAAACCUCUUUCAGCACGGAAGAAGCGAGAGUGACGGUACGUGCAGAAGAAGCGCCGGCUAACUACGU
rnacentral:rRNA from 1 species